GGCUUCGUGGUCGAGUGGUAAAUAUACUUACUUGCCUCUCAUCCUGGAGUCCCGGGUUCGAUCCCUGGUCGAGGAGCUA